UACAGAGGGGGCAAGCGUUGUUCGGAAUUACUGGGCGUAAAGCGUGCGCAGGCGGUGAUGUAAGACCGAUGUGAAAUCCCCGGGCUUAACCUGGGAACUGCAUUGGUGACUGCAUCGCUCGAGUAUGGCAGAGGGGGGUAGAAUUCCACGUGUAGCAGUGAAAUGCGUAGAGAUGUGGAGGAAUACCGAUGGCGAAGGCAGCCCCCUGGGUCAAUACUGACGCUCAUGCACGAAAGCGUGGGGAGCAAACAGG
rnacentral:rRNA from 1 species